AAUGAAUUGACGGGGGCCCCGCCACAAGCGGUGGAGCAUGGGGUUUAAUUGGAUGCAACGCGAAGAACCUUACCUACUCUUGACAUCCAGGGAACGUUCCAGAGAUGGAUUGGUGCCUUCGGGAUCUCUGAGACAGGUGCUGCAUGGCUGUCGUCAGCUCGUGUUGUGAAAUGUUGGGUUAAGUCCCGCAACGAGCGCAACCCUUAUCCUUUGUUGCCAGCGGUCCGGCCGGGAACUCAAAGGAGACUGCCAGUGAUAAACUGGAGGAAGGUGGGGAUGAGGUCAAGUCAUCAUGGCCCUUACGAGUAGGGCUACACACGUGCUACAAUGGCGCAUACAAAGAGAAGCGACCUCGCGAGAGCAAGCGGACUUCAUAAAGUGCGUCGUAGUCCGGAUUGGAGUCUGCAACUUGUCUCCAUGAAGUCGGAAUCGCUAGUAAUGGUGGAUCAGAAUGCCGCGGUGAAUACGUUCCCGGGCGUUGUACACACCGCCCGUCACACCAUGGGAGUGGGUUGCAAAAGAAGUAGGUAGCUUAACCUUCGGGAGGGC
rnacentral:rRNA from 1 species